UGUACAGUAACUCCUAUCCCUACCUCCCCGUGGUGCCGCCUGGGAUACGAGUAACCGUAGGGAAGAUCGGGUUACCAACCUUGGUGCGACAGGGUAGG
rnacentral:ribozyme from 1 species